AAGCGGCAACAGCUCAAAUUUGAAAUCUGGCGCAAGCCCGAGUUGUAAUUUGUAGAGGAUGCUUCUGGGUAGCGACCGGUCUAAGUUCCUUGGAACAGGACGUCAUAGAGGGUGAGAAUCCCGUAUGUGACCGGCCCGCACCCUCCACGUAGCUCCUUCGACGAGUCGAGUUGUUUGGGAAUGCAGCUCUAAAUGGGAGGUAAAUUUCUUCUAAAGCUAAAUACCGGCCAGAGACCGAUAGCGCACAAGUAGAGUGAUCGAAAGAUGAAAAGUACUUUGGAAAGAGAGUUAAAAAGCACGUGAAAUUGUUGAAAGGGAAGCGCCUGCAAUCAGACUUCGCGGCAGUGUUCCGCCGGUCUUCUGACCGGUCUAUUCUCUGUCGCGAGGCCAUCAUCGUCUCGGCCCGCUGGAUAAGACCUUGGGAAUGUAGCUCGCCUUCGGGAGAGUGUUAUAGCUCAUGGUGAUGCAGCGAGGCUGGGGCGAGGUCCGCGCUUCGGCAAGGAUGAUGGCGUAAUGGUUGUCGGCGGCCCGUCUUGAAACACGGACCAAGGAGUCUAACAUCUAUGCGAGUGUUCGGGUGUCAAACCCCUACGCGUAAUGAAAGUGAACGGAGGUGGGAACCGCAAGGUGCACCAUCGACCGAUCCUGAUGUCCUCGGAUGGAUUUGAGUAAGAGCAUAGCUGUUGGGACCCGAAAGAUGGUGAACUAUGCCUGAAUAGGGUGAAGCCAGAGGAAACUCUGGUGGA
rnacentral:rRNA from 1 species